rnacentral:misc_RNA from 1 species
CAGGAUUGAAAAGGGUUAAUUUGGAACCUGUAGAUGCACCUUCCCUCAGUCUCGCCCUUCCAAAAUUUCUCCAAAAUUCUCCGGAGUCCAAAUUGAGUAGCGGUUAUGGAUCCUCGAUACACCGGAGAGAUAUUUAAGCAUUUGGAGAAGCAGAAUGAUUUGUUUAUGGAGGCCUACAAUUCAAUGUCUCAUGAAUUACAUAAGCUUCAGGUAGAGGAAGAAAUGCUGAUGCGUAAAUUUUAUGAACUUAUGACUGCUCAGGGUUUAACUAAAAAGAAUGAAGGUAAUACCAAUGUUUCGAAUGGUGGUCAAAUCAGAGAUGACACUGCCUUACUUACAAAUAACGCAGGCAAUGAUUCUUAUGGUGACAAGAGUGGGCAAUCAACUAUGAUAGUCCUUGCUACUAUCUAGUGAAUUCAUUGUUUUUUGUUUUUUGUUUUUUGUGCAUGAAUUUCUUAGAUGAGGAGCCAGCAUGAUCUGCUUUUGUUUUUAUCUUUGCUAUUUUAUCAUUUAGGUUGGCUAACUGGUGUUUCUAGCUGAUAAAAUUGAUCGCCAUGAAUAAUUGAAAUAAUUUAUUGUAAAAGCCUGACCAUAAGCAGAAUGUGGUAUCUCCAUUAUUGGAUUGUUGCUGGCAAAAAAUGAGCGAAUAAUUAAGAAGGCUUCAUUAAUUGAAUCAAAUUUUGAUUUAACUGACAAUGAUGUUGUUUCUUGGUGUAUGUUGUUUUUGCUAUUAGCAUGGUGCCAUGCAAGGCAUGCUUAACAAGCAAAUUGAAUCAUGUCUUCUGCUCCCUGCCCCUUUGCCAUCCCAAACUGUUGCAUUUUCUUCCUCUUUUUUGGUAAACUGCAAAUUGACUGUUUGGGCUUGAUAAAUUUUUAUGAUACAAGGAGUUAAAAAUCAUUAUCUAAUAUCAGGGUGUUAGGAUUGAUUGAUGGAUUAAAUGAUUGUUUGUAAACUUUUUAAUAGUUGGACGGUAGAAUUUUGAUAUACUUGGUGCUAAAAUAAUUGUUAUGUGCUUGGAAGUUAUUUAACUUCAAAAUGAUUACUGCAUGGUGAGAGUAAAUGCAUAAAAUGAGAUGGGGUAGAUUUGGGAAGACUCAAUUCAAGUAUUACCUACAGAAGAGGUUACUUUUAUGUUUCUUAUUGAUGGGUUUAUUUGUUUAUUGGAAGGCUUAAUUGAUAUUUGGACAGUUUAAUUAUUUAAUCUUUCUUGUUGAUUGCUUUGGCUUCUAAAAGUUGGCAAUAUUUAAUUUUCCAACUUGUUCAGAAUAUCUUUUUAUCGUCUUUGCCUUUGGC